AUGCUUUCCAUGGGGGAGGGGGCAUAUAAUGAUAAACCAGAACAUGAGAAGACUUCAUCCCCCGUGGUACGACCCCAUGUCGCGUCCCCAGGGGCGGACUUCUCAUGGACACAAGGAGGAGCAGUAUGUGGGGCCAUACAAACUGGAAAAGACCCUGGGAAAGGGGCAGACGGGUUUGGUCAAGAUGGGGAUUCACUGUUCACAGGGAAGCGCGUGGCCAUCAAGAUCGUCAACAGAGAGAAGCUGAGUGAAUCGGUGCUGAUGAAGGUUGAACGAGAAAUAGCCAUAAUGAAGCUGAUAGAGCACCCUCAUGUUCUUGGGCUGUUUGAUGUGUACGAAAAUUAAAAAUAUUUGUAAGUACGGCGGAGAUAAUCUCAGAUUGUGGUAGAAGGCUGAUUGAGCGGGAUCUCGUCAAAGUUAAACACUCUUACAAUGACCGAGGGUCGACUGAGCAAACAAUGGGGCUAAUACCUUUUGAAUGUGAUUAAUCCGUUUGAAGGCCUAUAAUAGGGUACAUUUAAUAUUUGUCCUAGCAGACAUUGAUGUUAUUGAUUGGGCUUUUGUUUGGAAAUAUUUGAUAACAAUGUUCGCCUUUGACAUCAUACAAAACGUCUCAAAUUACUGCCAGGACUAAUAGUGAUUAAACAGAUUUAUUUUUCUUAAAAAACAUUUCUGUAUUAAAGUCAGUUCAGAUUUAAAAUCCAUGUUUUCACUAGAACCAAUAAAACUUGAUAAAUAUCCCAGACUAAGUGAUAUAGUCGUAAACUCGUAUAACACCGUCUUUACACCCGACCCAGAGGCGACUGUCAUCGUAGAGAGAAAGGCAGUAUGGGUAUUUAAGCCCAUCAUUGUCUGUGGUUAAAAACUUCAGAAAUGCCCCCUCUUCACUAAGAACAUGAAUACAGUGGUUAUUAAAGUCAGUAAUUAUUAUACGACAGUAGGAGUCACACACUAUUCCGGAUGGAUGAAACCUGUCCUUUGUGUUCGUAUUUCCAUGAUACAUAAACUUCAGUCUACGAUCAAAUGACACUACCUUAAUUAUCACCACGUCUUUGGAUUGGCGAUCUACCACACAUAUAUCAGUGUUAAAAUUUUCAGCCACGCGGUAGGGGAAAUUGAAUAAUCGUGUUUCCUUGUCCUCUGCGUAUUCGUAGGUCUCUGUUAACUGACCUUCCUCAGUGAGGUGUUGAACCAUACGCAUGCUGUCGUCCCCAACAUCAUAGCAGUCCUUGUCCACUAGACAGACCAGUAAACCCCCAUCUAGGGCCAGCCCCACCCCCAGGGGCAUGAGUGGCUUAGUAGUCCAGAACUCCUCUACUUUGCCAGUCUUAUAGACCUUUUGCAUGGUGCACCCCUCAAACUCUGUGUAAACCAUGUCCCCAGAGUUCAGCACAACAAAAGAACUAGUCCACCCUCCUAUGUAGAUCUGCUUAGUCACUUUCCCUUGGUCAUUCAUUCUCAGUAAAUUUAGAGUUGUUACAGUGAAACCAGGUGAAUUCCUCACAAAAAGCAUUGAUAGCAAGUAUAGGCUCGGUUCCAUGUUUAAAACAGUGAAUUUCAGCCACUGAGGGCUCUGGUCUCUUGUCUAAGCUGUUGACCUGUACCUCGUUAAUCACUGCCGAUAGAUCACCAAGACUAAUUUCUGUGGGGUCAGUAGGUUUGGGAUCCUGAGAUAUUAUUAAUAGUUGACUAUCAGAGUUGUCUUCCCUGACCACUGAAUGACCUUGAACAGAUUCUUCUCUGUCAGUUGUUUCCUCUUCAAUGAUCUCCAGUUUUUCCACAAUCUUGACCUCUGGAAUCUCUUGAAUUUCUUCAGGUAUUUGGUCUGUUGCCAUAUCUUCGUUAGAGAUGGCAAAUAAUGAGAUACUGGCUGAAUUUCUGUCCUUACAUAGUUCCUAUCAGUCCUUUGUUCUCUGCUACCAUCAUUAUCCGUGGAUUGAUUCCUUUGACUAAUGAUGUCAUUACUGGUAUCCCACAUUUCCUCUUCGUCUGAUGACAGCACUGGAUUGACGUCUGGACUCCACGCGGUUUGCGGUAAUCUGCGGCGGUCACUUUCCCUGGCCUGGCACCCUGAGUCAUCCUUCCACUGUCCUACCCGAUCCUCCUCCUCCUCUUCCAUUCUGUAGAAACUGACAGGGCAGAUUGCAGGCCUCCAGAAUGCUGCCUCAAUUGUUUACAUGAGGUGCAGUUCAAUUGGAGUUGUAGGUAGAUCUUUGUAGUUAUUUCAUGAUUUAAAUAUAAGCUAUUGAUUACUGGCAGCUUAGUGGACUUGUAAUGGCACAUUUAAAUACUUGGCAAAUCUACACACAGCCUGCUACAUUCUGAAUGCAUUUGUAAUGCCGCGUUAUUUUGGUCAGAUAAACAGUUUGUAGGGUUUUGUCAUCAGAUGAGUGCAUGCCUCUCAGGCGUGCAAGAAGUCCUAAUGCACAUCUUGGUUCUAUUGUCAGAGUGUGAAUAAUUCAGUUCAAAAUUUAGAUAAUGACAAA
rnacentral:sRNA from 1 species